CAGCUCCCCGCGUCUUCCAGGCGGAGGGCACGCGAGCCCCGGCGGGACGCGGCACAGGCCCCGCAGGAUCCGCGUCCGCGGCCUUCAGCCCUGCACGGCGGCCGCCCCCGGGCCUCGCGCCCCAGGUCACCGGCCCCCUCGGGAUCCCGCGCCCGCCCUGCGCCCGCCCACCAGCCCCGAGCCGCUGCGCCGCGGGGUGUGGGUGCGGGGGCUCCCGGGGCCACGACGGGGUGCGCGGGGGAGGGGUCGGGAGGUCCGGGGGCCACGACCAGGUGCGGGGGGAGGGGCCGGGGGUCCCGGGGGCCACGACGGGGUGCGGGGGGGGCGCCGGGAGGUCCGGGGGCCACGACCAGGUGCGGGGGGCGGGGCGGGUGGUCCUGGGACCACGACGGGGUGCGGGGGGGGGCGCCGGGAGGUCCGGGGGCCACGACCAGGUGCGGGGGGAAGGGUCGGGAGGUCCGGGGGCCACGACUAGGUGCGGGGGGGGUGGCGCCGGGAGGUCCCGAGCUCACGACCAGGUGCGGGGGGAGGGGCCGGGGGUCCCGGGGACCACGACGGGGUGCGGGGGGAGGGGUCGGGAGGUCCGGGGGCCACGACCAGGUGCGGGGGGCGGGGCGGGUGGUCCUGGGACCACGACCGGAUGAGGGGGGCGAGGGACCGGGGCUCCCGGGGCCACGACGGGGUGCGGGGGGGAGGGGCAGGGAGGUCCGGGGGCCCACGACCGGGUGCGGGGCGGGGGAGGGACGGGUGGUCCCGGGCCCACCGCCGGGUGCAGUCCCUCCGGGGCGCCGUGUGCGCGGAAGCCGGCCGGCCAGGGCGGCGGGGGGCGGCGGGGGGCGGCGGAGGAGACCCCCCCGCGGCCGCGCGGCGCCCCGGUGCCGCCCGCCCGCCCUCCUCCCCGGCAGCGGGGCGCCGGACCUCGCGGCCCCUUCGGGCGCUUCCGCCGCGCGCUCGGCUCCCUUCGCGCCCGGGGCGGGGCGGGGCGGGGCGGGGCGGCGCCUCCAGUGCGCGCGCGCGGCCGGGACCCGCGAGGCCCGCCCCCGGCCCCCCGCCCGCCCCUCCCCCCCGGCCCGCCCCUCCCCCACCGCGGCGAGUGUCGGCGGCGGCGGCUGCCGAGAUUGGAAUCCGCCCGCUGGCGCUCGGCGAGGGCGGAGGGCGGAGGGCGGAGGGCGCAGGGAGGAGGCGGGCAGGGGGGCUGGGACUCCGGCGCGUCCGUCCGCGCGAGACGACGACCGCAGGGCCGCGCGAGGGGCGACCGGGCCGGGGCCGCUGCACGCCGAGGGCGGAGGCCGACCGGGCCCCGCCGCGCCCCCCGCUCCGCGCCGAGGGCCGGACGAUGAGUUCCCCGGGGGCCGGGUGAGUUGGCGGGUCGGAGGGGGGCGGCGGGGGGGCGGGGGCGCGGGGGCGCAGGGGGGCGGCGGGGGCGCAGGGGGGCGGCGGGGGCGCAGGGGGCCGGCGGGGCGGGCGGCCCGGCGGGGUCCCCGGCGCCCGGGGCAGUGUCAGGCCGCGUCCCCCGGCCCCGGCGCCCCCCGGCCCCUGUGCUCCCGCCCCGGGUCGGGCCGGCGUGGGGAGGCGGCGUGCGCGGAGGCCGCCCGCAGGGACGCGUCUCGGGUCCUUAAAUGGAAAGGCGCUCACCUCUGGCCCGGAGCGCGCGGGCCGUGGUGCGGCUGCGGAGGCGCGGGGGGGCCCGGGGGGGCACAGGGUCUCCGGGUUCCCGAGCCUCACCUGUCGCCCCGCGCGGCCUCCCUGCCCGGGCCUGUGGCUCCGCGCCGCGGCCCCGGGAACCUGAGCGGGGCGCCCCUCCCUCCGCUCCCCUCCCCUCCCCUCCCCGGCCGGCCCCGCGCGCCCCUGCAGGCCCGGGGAGCACCCGGCGGGGUCCUGGCGCCGCGCCCCCGCCCGCCCCAAGCGCCGCAGCUCUGCUGGCCCCGGCGGCCUCCAGCCCCUGGGUGCACGGGGCGACCUGGGACGUCCACCUGCGUGACGUCACCCAGCCCCCCCGCCCCCGGCCGCCGGGUUCCCCCCUCCGCGCGAGCCGGGUGGGCAGCAGGGCCUCCCUGCAGUCGGGAGCCGCCGGGGGCCGCCGGGCCAGGAGCCCCCAGCACCCGCCGAGCCUCCCCGUGCGGAGCCCCACGUCCGGGGCAGCCCCUCCUCCUGGAAAUGCUCGCUGUUUGGUGGCUCGAGUUGCAGAGCGGCUUCUGCACCGUAUUUACUUAG
rnacentral:lncRNA from 1 species